rnacentral:rRNA from 1 species
GACGAACGCUGGCGGCGUGCUUAACACAUGCAAGUCGAACGGAGUGGCGAACGGGUGAGUAACACGCGGGUGAUCUGCCUUGCACUUCGGGCUAAGCUUGGGAAACUGGGUCUCAUACCGGAUAGUGACAGAUGAGCUCGCGGCCUAUCAGCUUGUUGGUGGGGUAAUGGUCUACCAAGGCGUCGACGGGUCGCCGGCCUGCGAGGGUGUACGGCCAAAUUGGGACUGAGAUACGGGCCAGACGCCUACGGGAGGCAGCAGUGGGGAAUAGUGCACGAUGGGCGGAAGCCUGAUGCAGCGACGCCGCGUGGGAGAUGAAGGCCUUCGGGUUGUAAACUCCUUUCGACAGGGACGCGGUACCUGUAUAAGAAGCACCGGCUAACUACGUGCCAGCAGCCGCGGUAAUUC